UACGUAGGGGGCAAGCGUUAUCCGGAUUUACUGGGUGUAAAGGGAGCGUAGACGGAUUAGCAAGUCUGAUGUGAAAGGCAGGGGCUCAACCCUUGGACUGCAUUGGAAACUGCCAGUCUUGAGUGCCGGAGAGGUAAGCGGAAUUCCUAGUGUAGCGGUGAAAUGCGUAGAUAUUAGGAGGAACACCAGUGGCGAAGGCGGCUUACUGGACGGCAACUGACGUUGAGGCUCGAAAGCGUGGGGAGCAAACAGG
rnacentral:rRNA from 1 species